GUUCAACAUACUUUGCGAUAUCUCUUCCAGUUCAAACCGGUCAACCCCUGUUGGUCUGAGUCCUGAGGUAUGAACAUGGAGGCCCAUCUGUAUAAGGAAUUCUUUCCCCAAACAGGGAGUACAGGUUAUACAUAGUUCAAAUUCUUUCUACUCAUAAACAUAGGGGAAGGACAGAUAAGCAUAGAAAAAAGACAGAAGCCUAGCCUGCCAUGAUUAUAGGGUUGUUUUCUGGUUCUUUUCUUUAUCACUCCCACGUGGGAUACUCUCAAACAGCCUUCCAGCAUGCAAGCCACAGCCUGAGUGUCUGUGUGUAACUGCAACCAACCUGGGUUUUAUUGAAGGAUGACCCCAACACACCUCCAGUCCCAGAUCUUUCCCCAGAAAUGUAUGUACUCCGGAAGGGUACAGUAUAUUAAGUCUGUUGUUCCUUUAAGGGAAUAAUAUUCUGGUUUAUCACCCUAAAUAAUUGCCCAGAGACUUCGAUUUAGACCUGCUGGAUUCGAUUAAACAGUAAAACAAGUUUAUUAACUACAAAGGGAGAUUUUUAAGUGAGUACAAGUAACGAGGCAUAAAAGUCAGUGGUUACAAAAAAAAAGAUAAAAUACUUACUAGCAUUUACUUAAACUAUCUUAGUUGCAAAGCAGACUUUCCUUUCCAGACUUUCCAGUAUCUUCUCUUUGCAUCCAGACAAAGGAAAAGAUCAGCCAACAGUUCAAGCCAGAUGGUAGAGCUGGGUAAAAUCUUGGGUUUUUUGGUUUUUUUUUAUUUUUGUUUUUUAACUUAUGCAUUUUUAAUGUCUGUCUGUAACGUAUCCAGGAAUCACUAGGAUCUAUAGUGCAAAACUUUAUCAAGUUUUUGUGUCUUUUGCGUCAAAACUAUUUAUUCACAUGAGGAAUCCUUAUAUGGAAGGAGUCCCUCUGAAGUCAGUCAGGCUAUUUACACAUUUUGAGAUUCCUUAUGUGAAUAAUGCAGGGUCUACUGUACCAAAUUAGCAGAUAGACUAACUGAGAUAUAGCUUAGGGGACUCCAGACUCUAAUGAUGGUGUGAUUUCUCAUCAUACUUUGAAUGAUGACAUUUGGAGGUCCCUUAAUCUCAUUGUCUCAUGGUCCUGUACACACUUAAUAUUGUGUGCCUCCCCCCUUCACCCUCCAAGGAGAUACAGCACUGAAACCAAUUGCAGGCUAUUGUGAGAAGUUAUGGAAAUAACUGAAGAAGUCUAAUUUACUAAUCAAUUACUAUCACAUGCUAAUGUUUAACAGCCUAGUGGCAGCGGUUGCUCCAGUUCUGCUCCCUUACUACAAAUCACUGAGAUUCACAAAUAUGAAACACAUGUUUUCUGUCUGACCGUUGUCUUUUAUGGGAUAGCGGGGAUUGCAAACGCAGAUGCUCCGGUUCAUCUGAUUUUUGGCAGAUUGGGCUAUGUAUGGCCGCUUUGCUCUCUGAGCAGACAUUACUGUUAACAUAGCUUCACUGACUGGAGAACAGAUAUGGCCACAGGUAAUAAGCUUGGCCGAGCAUUUUAAAACAUCUUUGCUCUCUGUAGGCCCCGUUCACCUAGGUCUGGACUUUGACCUUAGACAUCUCCAUGAGGAACAAGUGGCGCAGAGGCAUCGUUCUGGUGCACAGCUCCUACCCUGCUUGCCUCUGCCCUGAGAGGGAAGUGCUUUGCACACAGCUGUCCACCCUGUGAAUUCAGCUGUUAAAACUUGUAGUAAUAUCCGCACAGGAUAAAGAUGUCUACAAAGCUAUGCAAGAAGAAGAGAAAUAUUUGCAGUUCGUCUGGGAAAUAAAUGCAUUUGGUUGACUAGCUGAAUCCAAUUCCAUGCAGUUUGUUCAUGCUGGUACUUGAACUGCUCUGAUAAAGCUGUUAGAAGGAAUACGAGCUACUGCAGUUAUUCGCUGGGAGAAGAAAAAAGCCACUGGCAAACAGGCAAUACACCAAGCAUACGAGAGAGGGGUCACGUCUUAUGUUUUAUACUAAGACAGAAAAAGCAAGAAAAAUGAACAACGCUGCAGCUGUUUUUGUUGUUUUAACAUGCUGAAUGCUGACGAAUAGCCAGUUUAGGGCUAAUUUCUAGACAUGCUUUGAUUUAAAGUGUUUUCUUCUAAGUGUGCUGAUUUAAAUGUUGUCCUCAGAAGGUUAAUGCAUCCGUCCCAGCCUGGAUCCUGACCAUGGGGUUUUGUUUAAAUCAUACUGACAAAACAAGGCAGUUUUAAACUUGAAAUUAAAACGGAGUAAAACUGAAUUCAACUAAACUCAUUUGCGCCCCUCCCCCCACCAGAUAGCAGUAGAAAUGAGACUAGUCUCAGCAGGUGAUGCCCCCUUUCAUAUGUUCCAGUGGUCUGUAUCAUUACUAAGGCACUUAACGGGCCUCAGCUGACAUCAGGGCCCAUUGUGCCAGUACCGUACAAAGCUCAAGUAAGAGUGUAACAGGGUGGCUUGCCCUGGGAGCUGGAGGUUGAGCCAGCUUGAUUGAGGGGAAUCAGGCAAAUUCCCCAUAAAGAGCAGAAGGUGGCUGCAGUACUGGAAACGAGAGCCAGGAUUAAGUGGUGGUAAAGCCCAGUUGGGAAAAGGGCUGGAGAGAGCCAGGCAGAAAGCAGAGAGAAAGGAAAUUACUCCAAGCAGGGUCCUGGGAGAGACAGAGGGACCUAGACGAAGCACCCAUGGAACACUACUGCCCCAGCUAAAAGGAGCAGCCCAGGGCCCUGAGCCCGAACCAAGAGUAGCAGGUGGCACUGGGCUCCCCUAAUGGUCCCAAGGAAAGGCGUGCACAAGCCCAACAUAAGGGCUGUAGGCUGAGCUGAAGCCAGGCUGAGAAAGAGCCGCAGAAAGGGGAAUGACCGUUGGCGGGGCGCACCAGCCCAGAGAGCUCCUUCGCCACACUUGGCCACGAGGAGUUGCCGAGUGGUAAGUGGACUAUAAAGAGACAAUGCCCCUCAUAGUUUACUGUCUAAACAACUGUGUACCCAUUCCCUCUUAGUCUGCACAGGUGCCUUUUAGACUAGUAUAGAGUGCCAAAAAUUUAAAAUGACUGAAAUUGUGUGGGAACUUGGCAGCAUGUCUCUUAACCAUCUUUUCCCCACUAACCUUCCAAAAUAUGGCUGUUUGCAAUAAUAGGAAAUCCAUAUUGAAUUUAUGGUCAGAUCCUUGUACUGUUCAAAGUCAGUGGUUAAAGGUUCCAUUGACUUGAAGGGUAUGUCUACCCUGCAGCCUAUAAGCACUGAAGUUUAUAAGAUGCAACGUUUAACAGUUUCUCUUAUUUUUACCUAGCAUCCACCUGCUUGAGAUUUGAAUUUCUUGCCUUGACCAAGAAAGCUCAGCACUUCAAGUUAGGGCUCCGUUUCCCCAAACUGUUGGCAGGCAUGAGCUCUUUCACAAAACCAUGCUAUUGCCUAAGGCCUUUGUAGCUUGCGCUGGAGGCAGAUGCACGGACAUGGCUGAACUACGGAGUGCAUGACAGGUCAGGUAGAAAGAUUGUUUAGUCAAUUAAUGAAAAGGAAGGAGCCGUUUUGCAAGUCUAAAAGGCUGUCAAGUUCAUUCUGCGACCAAGUUUUUCACCAGUAAAUAAGAGCCUAUUAAGGAGGGAGGAGAGACAACAGUGGUCAAAGUAGGCUGGUUGGCUGGUACAUUUUGGAAGCGUUACACACCAGCCACAUUUAACUCCCAGUACCUUAUUCUUCAGUUUAGAAAAGGGGAACACACAGUAUUGCCUCUGUUAGGUCAGCCAGUCCCGCUACUGGUUCUACAGUAACCCCUGCGUAGAGUCACAUGAUGGCCAUGGUGUGAGGAAGAACUAGACUUUGAAGAGUAAAUCACUCCACAGAGGAACGUUCAGCACAACCAGAAAUCUUGCCAGCCUAUAGAACAACUGCCACCUUUUCUUUACGGUGUAUGAAGAAAUCAAAUAGCCUUCCAGUCACCAGUUGAUUUUAUUGUUACAAUAUAACAAAGCAGUUUAUUUUCUUGUGCACUUCACAGUGUCCAAAAUGUGCUGCUAGGGUAUAGAAUGGAACUGACAUCACUUUCAUGGAAGUACGGAAUAAGACGGAAUGGCAGCCUAAUUUCUACCAUGACACUCUGGGAUGAGUACGCAAUGGCACCAGCUGAAAACAGACCAGCAGCAUAUGGACCUGGGCAACUUCAGGAUGCCAGCAGCAGCUGUACUCUGUGCCUUUGUUACCCUCAGGACUGCUGCUCUUGUGGCCUGAAGGGGUGCCACCCACAGAACACCUGACCAUGAGGAGGAGAAAGAAUAGGAGGAGGG